GAUGAACGCUGGCGGCGUGCCUAAUACAUGCAAGUCGAGCGAACAGACGAGGAGCUUGCUCCUCUGACGUUAGCGGCGGACGGGUGAGUAACACGUGGAUAACCUACCUAUAAGACUGGGAUAACUUCGGGAAACCGGAGCUAAUACCGGAUAAUAUAUUGAACCGCAUGGUUCAAUAGUGAAAGACGGUUUUGGUGUCACUUAUAGAUGGAUCCGCGCCGCAUUAGCUAGUUGGUAAGGUAACGGCUUACCAAGGCGACGAUGCGUAGCCGACCUGAGAGGGUGAUCGGCCACACUGGAACUGAGACACGGUCCAGACUCCUACGGGAGGCAGCAGUAGGGAAUCUUCCGCAAUGGGCGAAAGCCUGACGGAGCAACGCCGCGUGAGUGAUGAAGGUCUUCGGAUCGUAAAACUCUGUUAUUAGGGAAGAACAAAUGUGUAAGUAACUAUGCACGUCUUGACGGUACCUAAUCAGAAAGCCACGGCUAACUACGUG
rnacentral:rRNA from 1 species